rfam:Schistosoma haematobium scaffold150_15, whole genome shotgun sequence.
AGCCUUCUGAAUUCGUGCAGAGAUUUCGUCAGAUACCAGAUCAUCAGCACUGACGAGACUCCCAAUAUAAGUGAAGCA